rnacentral:tRNA from 1 species
GCCGGAAUAGCUCAGUUGGGAGAGCGUUAGACUGAAUUUGUUUACGCAAAGGCACCCGGUUCAAUCCCGGGUUCCGGCA